rnacentral:rRNA from 1 species
AGAGUUUGAUCCUGGCUCAGGAUGAACGCUGGCGGCGUGCCUAAUACAUGCAAGUCGAACGAGGUGCUUUUGUAGCAAUACGAAAGUAUCCUAGUGGCGAACGGGUGAGUAACGCGUUGGUGACCUACCCCAAAGUGUGGGAUAACAGUCCGAAAGGAUUGCUAAUACCGCAUGUGGUCUUCGGAUUUAGAAACUGAUGACUAAAGGAGCAAUUCGCUUUGGGAGGGGCCUGCGUCCCAUCAGCUAGUUAGUGAGGUAACGGCUCACCAAGGCGACGACGGGUAGGGGACCUGAGAGGGUGGCCCCCCACAAUGGAACUGAAACACGGUCCAUACACCUACGGGUGGCAGCAGUAGGGAAUAUUGCACAAUGGGCGAAAGCCUGAUGCAGCAACGCCGCGUGUGCGAUGAAGGCCUUCGGGUCGUAAAGCACUUUUCUGAGAGAUGAGAAAGGACAGUAUCUCAGGAAUAAGUCUCGGCUAACUACGUGCCAGCAGCCGCGGUAAAACGUAGGAGGCAAGCGUUAUCCGGAUUCACUGGGCGUAAAGCGCGUGCAGGUGGUUCGGUAAGUUGGGCGUGAAAUCUCCCGGCUCAACUGGGAGAGGUCGUUCAAUACUACCGAACUUGAGAGCAGAAGAGGAAGAUGGAAUUCCCGGUGUAGUGGUGAAAUGCGUAGAUAUCGGGAGGAACACCAGUGGCGAAGGCGAUCUUCUGGUCUGUUUCUGACACUCAGACGCGAUAGCUAGGGUAGUAAACGGGAUUAGAGACCCCGGUAAUCCUAGCCGUAAACGAUGUGAACUUGGCGUUGGUGGGUUAAACUCCAUCAGUGCCGUAGCAAACGCGAUAAGUUCACCGCCUGGGGACUACGGCCGCAAGGUUAAAACUCAAAGGAAUUGACGGGGGCCCGCACAAGCAGCGGAGCAUGUGGUUAAUCGACGCAACGCGAAGAACCUACCAAGGCUUGACAUGCACUGGAAAGCUCUAGAAAUUAGAGCCUCCCUCGGGGCCAGUGCACAAGGUGGUGCAUGGCUGUCGUCAGCUCGUGUCGUGAGAAUGCUGGGUUAGUCCCGCUACGAGCGCAACCUGUCUAUGUUUGCCAGGCAGUAUGUCGGGACUCAAGGAAACUGCCGGACAAUCGAGGAGGGGGUAUGAAACGUCAGUGCAGCAUGGCCAUUAUGGUUCGUGGGGCUCCACACACCGUGGU